rnacentral:rRNA from 1 species
GAUAUGGCUCAGGACGAACGCUGGCGGCGUGCUUAACACAUGCAAGUCGAACGAGAAUCUACUGAAAGAGUUUUCGGGCAAUGGAUGUAGAGGAAAGUGGCGGACGGGUGAGUAACGCGUGAGGAACCUGCCUUGAAGAGGGGGACAACAGUUGGAAACGACUGCUAAUACCGCAUGACGCAUAGGGGUCGCAUGAUCUUUAUGCCAAAGAUUUAUCGCUUCAAGAUGGCCUCGCGU